GGCUCUGUGGCUUAGUUGGUUAAAGCACCUGCCUAAUAAAUAGGAGAUUCUGGGUUCAAACCCCAGUGGGGCCU